rnacentral:rRNA from 1 species
AACGAACGCUGGCGGCAUGCCUAACACAUGCAAGUCGAACGAGACCUUCGGGUCUAGUGGCGCACGGGUGCGUAACGCGUGGGAACCUGCCCUUAGGUUCGGAAUAACUCCCCGAAAGGGGUGCUAAUACCGGAUAAUGUCUUCGGACCAAAGAUUUAUCGCCUUUGGAUGGGCCCGCGUUGGAUUAGCUAGUUGGUAGGGUAAAAGCCUACCAAGGCGACGAUCCAUAGCUGGUCUGAGAGGAUGAUCAGCCACACUGGGACUGAGACACGGCCCAGACUCCUACGGGAGGCAGCAGUGGGGAAUAUUGGACAAUGGGCGAAAGCCUGAUCCAGCAAUGCCGCGGGAGUGAUGAAGGCCUUAGGGUGGUAAAGCUCUUUUACCCGGGAUGAUAAUGACAGUACCGGGAGAAUAAGCUCCGGCGAACUCCGU